CAUUGCGGUUUCUGAACGCAACCUGAUCAUGGUGACCAAUGACGACAGAUGUCCGUUGCCGUGAACACAUGUGAUUUGGAAAUUCAUAAUCCCAGAAGGUUCAUUAAGACAUAAGACAGCUUGGUUAUUAAGAGAAGAACAAGAAGAAGGACCUGUCUUGCGCAUUAGUCAAAUUGCGCGUGAUAAAAUUUCGCUGCUUAAAGUCCUGGAGAGAAGCUGAUCAAGUGAAAGUUCUCGUUGCCAAAACGCAUCGCUGUCUGAUGCAACAGCACGUCGCGCAAUCAAGAUUGCACCCCACAUGCGGAGAUUUUCGACAAUGUAUUUGUUUACGCUCGUUGACAGAUAGUGUUUCAAAUCUCUGACAAAUGCUAACGAUUAUCCAGCAACGGAGAGAAUUUGAUCACGAGAAGAGGAAAAAUUUGAGACUAUUCGAUUGCUGCUUCUAACGACAAACAGACGAAUAUGUCUCCGCCGAAACCGGACGGGAGGCCAAAUUUCCCGCAGAAAACGCGAGAGGAGAUCAAGGCAGAACGCGAAGCGAAGAAGGCAGCUAAAGCCGCCGCUAAGGCGGCGAAACUCACCGCUGAUAAAGCAGACAGUGUCAAGAGUCCAGCUCCUGUGGCCAGCUGUAAGGUUCCAGUGAGAGAUGUGAAAACAGACAACAAAGCAAAGGAAUGUAGCAAAGUAAAAAUAGACGAUAUUAAGAGUGAGGUCCUAGAAAAAAGUACAAAAUCAGAAGCGACAAACUCUGUGAACUCUCAGCCUAGUCAAGAACUCUUGACGGAAAAUGCAAUCCAAUCUUCAAGUAUCAUCCAAAAUGGUGCAUCUAAAAAUACACAGUUGGUCACUACCCAAUCUUGUGAGGGGAAGAGCAAGGCCGAACUGCGAGCGGAACGAAGAGCGAAGCAGGAUGCUCAAAGAGCUGCAAAGCAGCAACAGUUAGUAAAAGACAGUGCAAAUAAGAAGGAAUCUCCCAAACCAAGCGUGGAAACGGCACCCAAAUGUUCAGUAGAGAAAAGUGUCGAGAGCAGUGAGACGAGUACAGAUUUGCACGAAGUUAAUUUGUUCAAACACUUGUAUCAGGAGAGAAUCAACUCGCGGUAUUUAAUAACUAUGGUAAAUUCGCACUUACAUCCGGUGAUAGUUAGACUAGGUAUUCAGUACGCGAACAAAAUUAUCGUCGGUAGCAACGCGAGAUGCGUAGCGUUUUUGGCUGCAAUCAAACGGGUAAUUCAUGAUUUCGAAAAACCGACGCAAGCGGAUUUCAUCCGCGGUCUCGAGGCAAACUUGCAGGACUCGCAGGAUUAUCUUCAUCACUGUAGACCAUUGGGUGUCUCGAUGCGAAAUGCUAUGGGUCACCUCACAUGGCAGAUGACACAAUUAUCAUCUAUGUUAUCAAUAUCAGAUGACGAAGCGAAAAGUAAGCUACAAGGAGUAAUAGAUACUUACAUCUCGGAACAAAUUGAACUAGCUGGUAAAGCGAUAUCGAUGACGAUAAAGAGUAAAAUAUCAGAUGGAAAUGUUAUUUUAACAUAUGGCUACUCAUCUUUAAUUAACAAGAUAUUAGUGGAUGCACACGCUGCAGGCAAAAAGUUUCGCGUGAUCGUGGUUGAUGGUAGACCAUGGCUAGAAGGAAAGGAACAGUUGAGACGUUUGACGAAACAUGGAAUUGAGUGCUCAUAUUUAUUAAUCAAUGCUGUUAGCUUUAUCAUGCCAGAAGUCAGCAAAGUCUUUCUAGGUGCCCACGCAAUAUUAGCUAACGGUGCAGUAAUGUCAAGAGUAGGAACUGCGCAAGUUGCUCUAAUAGCAAAAGCCUUUAACGUCCCUGUUUUAGUAGCGUGCGAGACGCACAAAUCGUCUGUACAAGUGCAGACCGACUCUAUUGUUUAUAAUGAAUUAGGAAGAUUACAGUACUUGUCAACAAAAGUUGGGGAAUGUAUUUGCGCAUGCUUUGAAAAAUGUCAGCCAUUUUGGUCGCGCAGUUGUGACGUCAGUGAUGCUGUUGAGGCGCCGGUUUGCAGUCACAUCGACAGCCAGAAGGAACAGACUCGCUUGGACACGCUGACGCUGGCACUGGCAAUUUCUCCCCACUUAUCGGCCUGCUCAGCGCCUCAACAGCAUCACUGGCAUCACUGGCUCUAGUUGGUUGACAAUUGUUUGAGUCGAUGUGAGUGUUUUUGUGAAAAUGGAAAAAAUCGAAUAUGCAGCUGAAUUUAAACGUGGCCGUACCAGUUUGGAUGACGAUGAACGCUUGAAACGACUAAAAACUGCAAUCACUGACGAUGACAUCGAAAAAGUUCAUCAAAUGGUACUGAACGAUAAUCGAAUCAAGGUUAGAGAGAUAGCAGAGGCUCUGAAGAUAUCGGAAGAACAUGUUUGUUAUAUAUUGACUGAAGAAUUAGGCAUGAGAAAGCUUACCGCGCGUUGGGUGCCGCGUUUGCUUACUCUGGACCAAAAACGUGUUCGAAUGAACAUUUCCAACGCUCUGUUGGCACAGUUGAGGCACAAUAAACGAGAGUUUUGGCGCCGAUUAAUUAUUGCAGAUGAAACUUGGAUACACUAUUAUACUGCAGAAACAAAAACACAGUUAAACCAGUGGACUGCGAAGGGGGAAUUGGCUCUAAAAAAGGCAAAGGCUGUUCCUUUGGCUGAGAAAGUGAUGGCGAUUGUUUUCUGGGAUAGUCGUGGAGUUGUUUUAAUCGAUUAUCUUGAAAAAGGAAAAACCAAAAUUACAGGAACAUACUACGCAUCAUUACUUGACAAGCUGAAAGCAGAAAUUGUGAAAAAGCGGCCACAUUUGCAGAAAAAAAAAAUUUUGUUUCACCAAGCCAAGUCUAGCAUCUCAGCGAUUGCCCUGUCGAAAAUUUACGAAUUACGGUUUAAACUGCUUAACCACCCUCCUUACUCACCAGAUCUAGCCCCAAGCAACUUUUUUUUGUUCCCUAAGUUAAAAGUUGCGCUCGGAGGACAGAGAUUUUCGUCAAAAGAGGAGGCAAUCACAUUCGUAAACAACUAUUUUGCGGAGAAAGACGCCAAGUAUUAUUUGGAUGGGUUGAAGAGGUGGGAGCACCACUGGGAGAAGUGUAUAGACUUACAAGGAGACUAUAUAGAAAAAUAAAAAUUAAUUUGAUGAAAAAAUGUCUUGUUUCUUUGUUAGGUCGGAAACUUUUCAGACAACUCUUAUAUGUUUACACGUAAUGCAGAUGAGCUUGUGAAUCAUCAAUCGAACAGUAAUUCAAAAAAGUCUUUACUCUCGAAUUGGCGAACGCAGAACUCAUUAAAUCUUCUAAACAUCACUUAUGACGUGACGCCAGCCGAUCUUGUAACAGCUGUCGUUACGGAAUUAGCGAUUCUCCCAUGCACUAGUGUUCCUGUGAUUUUACGGAUUAAAUAAAUCUUCCGAGAUUUAAAUAUGUACGUUUCCUCAAGAAAGGAUUAAUAAAAAAACUGACAAACACACAACAGCAAAACAAGAAAACGAAUAACAAGUACGGGAAUUGCUGGGUUCUACAAUAUUUUAAUAUAAAUAUAUGAUUCAGAGUCUAUUUGACUAUUUCAACAAUUAUAUUAAUCGAACGCGAGAUUGAUAUCAAUUAAUAUAUUGUUAUAUAUUAUCGUUGAAAUAAACUUUUUAAAACUGGUGCAGAGAUUUAGCAAAUUUUCCUUAAAAAAAAACUUGCUGAUAUACUAAGUUUUUUAACAACAAUUAAUAUCAAUUAGCGUUUUGUAUGUGUAAUCCAUUAUAUAAUUUGCUAUUUAAUACAGGGCAAAUGCAAUGCAGUUGAUAUGAAUUGUAAGAAAUAAAACAUGUUUCUGAUAAGCUACA